rnacentral:rRNA from 1 species
CACGUAGGAGGCGAGCGUUGUCCGGAAUCAUUGGGCGUAAAGAGCGCGCAGGCGGCUUGGCAAGUCGGGUGUGAAAUCCCGGGGCUCAACCCCGUGACUGCAUCCGAUACUGUCAGGCUAGAGGUAGGUAGGGGAGAUCGGAAUUCCUGGUGUAGCGGUGAAAUGCGCAGAUAUCAGGAGGAACACCGGUGGCGAAGGCGGGUCUCUGGGCCACUACUGACGCUGAGGCGCGAAAGCUAGGGGAGCAAACGGG